GAGAGUUUGAUCUGGCUCAGGACGAACGCUGGCGGCGUGCCUAAUACAUGCAAGUCGAACGCACUGACAGAGAAACUUGUUUCUCUUGACGUGAGUGGCGCACGGGUGAGUAACACGUGGGAAACCUACCCUUCAGCGGGGGAUAACCGUCGGAAACGAUGGCUAAUACCGCAUAGGUCUUUUAACCGCCUGGUUGAAAGAGGAAAGACGGCUUCGGCUGUCACUGAAGGAUGGUCCCGCGGUGCAUUAGCUAGUUGGUAAGGUAACGGCUUACCAAGGCGAUGAUGCAUAGCCGACCUGAGAGGGUGAUCGGCCACAUUGGGACUGAGACACGGCCCAAACUCCUACGGGAGGCAGCAGUAGGGAAUCUUCCGCAAUGGACGCAAGUCUGACGGAGCAACGCCGCGUGUGUGAAGAAGGUCUUCGGAUCGUAAAGCACUGUUAUUAGAGAAGAACAACCGGUAGAGUAACUGUUACCGGCUUGACGGUAUCUAACCAGAAAGCCACGGCUAACUACGUGCCAGCAGCC
rnacentral:rRNA from 1 species